GCAGCGUGCGCUGCCGGCAGCGCGGCGCUCGGCUUUCCGGCAGUACCCGGAUGGAGGGGUAAUGGCCGCCAUCUGGGACUCGCAGGCAAUGGGGACCACGGCAGGUAUUCCCUGUGUGCGGAGCCGCCAAGACCAGUUAGGAUGUCGGGACGCACAGAGAGACGGCAAGGGGCCAAGGGCGAAAUCGUGGGGUGCUAGGGUUCCCCCCAAAUGGUCUUGGGGGGGAUCCGCCUCUUGCGCUAGGAAGCUCAUGUUAAAUAGUCCCGUCCAUUCAGCGCUUCCGGCCAACUUGCCGCAAAGUUUUCUAGAGAAGUCCUUGGUUUCUAACCCGGGGCUCUUGCUAGCUCUUAGGGCUGGUCAUUGUCGUCUCGGCUUGGGCUGGUUGUAAGUUUGUCCCUAAGAACUCCCCCACGGUCUCAGAGCCUAGGACUUGGGCGCGCGCGCACGGCGCGGCGACAGUGUACAUCCGCGCGCCCGAGGGGCAGCGGAACUCCGGGGAAAGGGGCGGAUCGGGCGCGGCGUUUUGGGGGCGAUGCGGGGGCGUUUGGCGCGCGAAGCCAUCGCUCGUCGGGUUCCGCGCCCGGUGGAGACGGGCUGGGCAGCCCUCAGUCCGCACCCCUCGAGCUGUAGGUUCGCGGGCCCGCCUCGACGGCAUCCCUACUAUGGGCCCAGUCUAUGGCUAUUGGGGGUUCUUCCUUGCAGAGACUCCCCGCUCUCUUGGCGCACGCACUGCGCGCCCUCAGAGUUGGGCAAGAAAGUGGUCCUCUUGUAGACUGCCCCCACCACCACCACACCCAGUGGCAUAUGGAUUUCUUUGUCACGGGCUUUUUUUUUUUUUUUCCCCACUUGUAGGGUCCAUCUUGAAUCUGUUCUUAACAUGGUGUCCUCUUUGUUAAGUGGGUAGUAUCUUGAGUUAGAUGGCUUUGGUAACUCAAAAGUAUUGGGUCUGAAUGCAUAGAUGAUGUGAUUUAACUCUUAUCUAGACCAAUGGAACAGAUGCAACUUCAAAGUUUAGAAAACAAAAGUUAAGGGUCAGUUUUCGCUUCAGGUUUAAAUUUGGGUUAUUUUAGUUUUUGUAAAUUAUUUUUUUCAAAAGUCUUGAAAAUGGGGAAAGGGGUCAGUUUUUGAGGAAUUCAUGAGAAUGUUGAACUGUCUGUGAUUAUCUCAGGGAUGUAAUGUAAAAACAACUCACAGCGUGGUUAAUUUGAAAGUCUGGUUUUCUUAAGGCACAUUUUACUAAUAAUAAUUGAAUUGCUUUUUUUCCCAGCAAAACAGGUCUGAUUUGAGUGUGCUCUAAAGUUUGUAUGGUCAGAAUGAAUAGAGAGACUUGCUGAAAUUCCCUAACAUUUUUAAAGUUAUAGCUGCAGAUCUGUUAAUUAUCCUUCAACAAAGCUGUAUUUUUCUUUAGAAAGUCAAAAGGGGCAAUUCGUACUAGCACUUGAGGGGUGUUGGCUUUCUAUGGCGUAGGUAAGCAUAGUAGACCUUACUCUUUUCUGUUUUUUUUUCCAAAUUAUGAUUACCAAUUCAAACAUUAUAUGUCAGAUGUCUGAACAGAUAAAAGGAUAGCAACUCCAGCGACUGUGUCUUUGUGAGCUCAUAGCAAAUAAACUUAAAUACUGGAGGGUUUUAUCAUAACCACCUUCACAUUUUAUGAUAUUUUUUCUGGAAGUAGUAUAGUGUGGUUCCAAAAGCUGCUGUAUUUUGAAAUAUUUUAAAUGAGAAACUUUCUAUCUAAAUAUAGUUUGAGUGAAAAAACCCACAAAACCUUACAAUGCCCUUUUAAUGUACUUUUAUUGCAAGUGUUGGGGCUUACUCUCAUUGAAGCAUUGUGUGUGCCCUGUAGAGAACACUUAAUCUGACCAGUCUAACUACUUUUCUGGUUUUCCUUUAAGUUCAAGAUUUUAAUCUUGCAUUUCUUCAGGUGCUCUAUUUAAAAGGGUUUUGUCAAUUAGAGAAAAGGGUUCUUAGAAAAUUUGAAAUGUUUAUCUGUUGUCUGCCCUCAUGUAUAGUCUAUUAAUUCUAUAGGCUUCACAUCAUAGGCAGUUCUCAUGGGAUGUUGAUACCAGCCUUGAGCAUUACUGUUGUCAGUAGGCUUUUGUAGUGGGCAGAUAAGUGGUUCAGAAUCAGGUGCAAUACUAAUUCUGCUUUUGCAAUUUGGAUAGGGCAAAACGAGUUUUCCUUUUAUUGUAUUAAAUGAUGCUAUUGUAUUAGAUUCUUGGAGAUGUGACUUUUGUAUUACAUGAGUUAUAUCACUGGGUAUCAAUUGUAUGCUUAUGCCCCAAGUACAGAGGAACUUAAAAACUAAUAUUCCUUACUUAAAUAUGAACUGUAAAUGACCAGGAUAAAAGCAUUUUGUUUUUGCUGUCAAAAUUCUUAAAUCUUCAUUUUCAUUUCCAGAUACCAUCUCUUGAUCACUGUACCUGAUUGUGGGUGGCAUUGUCCAGGCAUUAAGUUGUGUGCCUUUGUUCCUGGGAGAAAGGUAGGGAUUGGAGCACUUGAGUAGAUAGAUUUAUUACGUAGUAAGUUCGCGUCUUAAUAUUGGAUUAAAUAGACUGAAUGGUUACCUAUCUCUUAAUUUUCAAAGUUACUUUAGAGUUUUAUUUAUUGGCCAAAAUAAAAGGAAUUUCUCCGGAAGUUUUUAUUUUAAUGUAAGUAAAAAACUAAUUUUGGGUUUCAUAUUUGUUGAAUGUUUUAUCAGAGCUCAAAGAUGAUUUUAAUAUGUCAUGCUAAAUCUAGAGAUAGCAUUAAGGGCUUCUGGAUAAUGAUCAAUAAAGACAAAUAUGGUAGAAACAGGUUUCAAAGCUCUAUAAAUGGCUAGAGUCUGUGCCUUAAUUUGGCAAGUGCUAGUCAGUGCACCUAAAGAAAAACAAUAUAUUUGAUUUACAUUAUGAUUAAUGCUUAUCUACUUGAAGUUAGAAAAGGAACUGGAGAAUCUCUAGAGAAUUAAGACUGGUAGCCGGGCGUGGUGGCGCACGCCUUUAGUCCCAGCACUCGGGAGGCAGAGGCAGGCGGAUUUCUGAGUUCGAGGCCAACCUGGUCUACAAAGUGAGCUCCAGGACAGCCAGGGCUAUACAGAGAAACCUUGUCUUGAAAAAACAAAAAAACAACAACAACAAAAAAAGAAUUAAGACUGGAGAAGUGUCCUGGAGAAGUAUCUGAAUGUCUUGAUGUGGACAAAAAGAGUGGCAAAAAUCCAACAGAUCCAUGGUAAUAUACGGAGAGCUAUUAAAAUGGAUUGGAAAAUAUUGUGUGCCCUUAUUCAAAAACACGGUUUAAUCUACUCUCAACACAAAUAUGUCUGUCACUUGUUUGUGUUACUUAGGUCUUGGAAUCUUUAAAAUGGGUGCCAUGAUAUUUUAUACUGCUCAUUUCUAAAUGCAUUAAGCAUAUACUAAAAUACUUGGCAGUCAUAACCGUGUUCUUCCAUGAACUUUACCAAUAGAUUACGUUCUUUUCAGGGUCUCUUUUUUCACAAAGGCAUAAAUUUUUAUUUAUUUAGAAAUUAAUGUCUGAUGACUAUAUUGAAUAGAACAAAGUUCAAGCCGGGCGGUGGUGGUGCACGCCUUUAAUCCCAGCACUUGGGAGGCAGAGGCAGGCGGAUUUCUGAGUUUGAGGCCAGCCUGGUCUACAAAGUGAGUUCCAGGACACCCAGGGCUACACAGAGAAAUCCUGUCUCGAAAAAUCAAAAAACCUAAAACAAAAACC
rnacentral:lncRNA from 1 species